rnacentral:rRNA from 1 species
UGACAUCCUGCCUUUGAAGAGGUGGAGAUCAAAGCCGGGGAUCGCAAGACCCGGCGCUUGGAGAGGGGCCCGCGCCCGAUUAGCUAGUUGGUGGGGUAACGGCUCACCAAGGCAACGAUCGGUAGCCGGCCUGAGAGGGCGGACGGCCACACUGGGACUGAGACACGGCCCAGACUCCUACGGGAGGCAGCAGUGGGGAAUUGUUCGCAAUGGGCGCAAGCCUGACGACGCAACGCCGCGUGGAGGAUGAAGAUCUUCGGGUCGUAAACUCCUUUCGAUCGAGACGAAUGGCCUCCGGGUAAAUAGUCCGGAGGUGUGACGGUACCGAGAGAAGAAGCCCCGGCUAACUCCGUGCCAGCAGCCGCGGUAAUACGGGGGGGGCAAGCGUUGUUCGGAAUUAUGGGCGUAAAGGGCUCGUA